rnacentral:rRNA from 1 species
UACGUAGGGGGCAAGCGUUGGUCCGGAUUUAUUGGGCGUUAAAGAGCUCGUAGGCGGUUCCGUAAGUCGGAGUGUGAAAAAUCUGGGACUCACCCAGUGGAGCACUCGAUACUGCGGUGACUGGAGUACGGUAGAGGAGUGUGGAAUUCCUGGUGUAGCGGUGAAAUGCGCAGAUAUCAGGAGGAACACCGGUGGCGAAGGCGGGUCUCUGGACAGAGUCUGACGCUGAGGCGCGAAAGCGUGGGGGAGCAAACAGG